GUGGGGAAUAUUGGACAAUGGGCGCAAGCCUGAUCCAGCCAUGCCGCGUGAGUGAUGAAGGCCUUAGGGUUGUAAAGCUCUUUCAGUGGGGACGAUAAUGACGGUACCCACAGAAGAAGCCCCGGCUAACUUCGUGCCAGCAGCCGCGGUAAUACGAAGGGGGCUAGCGUUGUUCGGAUUUACUGGACGUAAAGCGCACGUAGGCGGAUCGUUAAGUCGGGGGUGAAAUCCUGGAGCUCAACUCCAGAACUGCCUUCGAUACUGGCGAUCUUGAGUCCGGAAGAGGUGAGUGGAACUCCUAGUGUAGAGGUGGAAUUCGUAGAUAUUAGGAAGAACACCAGUGGCGAAGGCGGCUCACUGGUCCGGUACUGACGCUGAGGUGCGAAAGCGUGGGGAGCAAACAGGAUUAGAUACCCUAGUAGUCC
rnacentral:rRNA from 1 species